rnacentral:rRNA from 1 species
UCGAACGGAAAGGCCGGGUGCUUGCACCCGGUACUCGAGUGGCGAACGGGUGAGUAACACGUGGGUGAUCUGCCCUGCACUUCGGGAUAAGCCUGGGAAACUGGGUCUAAUACCGGAUAGGACUACCGGUUGGUACUGGUGGUGGAAAGUUUUUCGGUGCAGGAUGAGCUCGCGGCCUAUCAGCUUGUUGGUGGGGUAAUGGCCUACCAAGGCGGCGACGGGUAGCCGGCCUGAGAGGGUGGACGGCCACUUUGGGACUGAGACACGGCCCAGACUCCUNCGGGAGGCAGCAGUGGGGAAUAUUACACAUUGNGCGCAAGCCUGAUGCA